CAAAGAUCAGCCACGUGGCAGUCAACCAUGUCUAUCUGACCAAGUUCCAAUGAAAACUCUGGACACCAAGGCUUGGGAGAUAUUUCUCAAAAGACUCCUCUGCGGGAGAGGAGAAUAGCUGUACUCUAAGCAGUUCGCAGGGAGCAUCUUUCAGCAGCUGAAACAGCUUUGCGGCCUUGCUGUAAUGAAGAUCUGCCAGCACCCGGUGUUGUUUCCUAAGGUGUUCAUCACCAACCUAGAACCAAACCAAAACAAGCAACAAAUCCUUCACGAGAAAGAAAGAAAACAACUGUGUAAGCAGACAUCAGUGUAAACCUUAGCACUGUCUCUUGAUGAGAUAAGAGGAGGAUGGCAGUGACAGGAGUGUGGUGGCGAGCCAGUCACCUGCAGUCAACCACGGCUCAUUGCUCUCACCAUGCCUGUUACAUGAAGUUUCAGGCAUCCACUGGGGAUCUUGGAACGCAUCCUCCAAGGAUAAGUGGGGUCUACUGUACAACACUUAAGUAUAACCCUCUUCACUAUUAACCAAAUGAUAUUAAAAUAAGCAAAGAAAAACA